ACAACUGUAAGGAGUGACACCUGGCCCUAGGGAGAUGAGUCAGCAAAAAGUGCAGAUAAAAUAAACUUGCUGAGCAAGACUCAGUGGGGGAAGAAACUUUACUUGUUACUCCUUUUUGUUUAGGUCUGUUUAGCAGCAGAGUGCUACCCUCACCUAACUGCCUUGUAUAUUUGUGCUUGCUCCUGAAGCCUGAGACCCAGACCCCUGUAUCCUGCAUCUGUUCCCAAGCCUUGGAACUGGAUCUCUGAACCCUUGACCUUCCUGCCCUGACCCUUGGACUAGACUGUUGGAUAUCCAAAUCUGGACUGCACUAAUACACAUAUAAUGCUCAUCUGCCUCAUUGUCUUUUGGCACCUGUUUCUCUCAGAAUCUGGCUCAAGAGUGAGGCCUGUUCACUGGAAGCCAUCAACAAUAUUCCAUGGACAUGUUUUAUUGACUGCUUACUAGAAAAUGUUCUCUGUGUUUGUCUGUGUGAACCACAAAGUUGCUGUUGCCACAGAAAGUGUAACAUGUAACUAUAUUCAACAAUUUCAUGGGAAUCUAGAUCCCAAAGUUUGGCUUGAACUCAUACGAAUAGAAAGUUAUUUGCUGUGCCCCAGUCAUACCAUAAAUGCUGCAGAUUUGGUUUCUGUAUCGAAGGUUUCUAGUAUAAGUGCCAGUUUUUCAUGCUGUGCUUGUUGUAGGAUUUUGCAGACUUGCUGACUGGGCAUGUCAAAGAAGAGGAUGCAAAUCUAUUUGUUACUGUUGAUUCUUUUCUUUGGUAAGCAUAUUCUCAGCAUAAAUACAACUCUAGCCUGUUGAAUACACA